UACAGAGGUCUCAAGCGUUGUUCGGAUUCAUUGGGCGUAAAGGGUGCGUAGGCGGCGCCAUAAGUCAGGUGUGAAAUCUCGGGGCUUAACUCCGAAACUGCAUUUGAUACUGUGGUGCUUGAGGACUGGAGAGGAGACUGGAAUUCACGGUGUAGCAGUGAAAUGCGUAGAUAUCGUGAGGAACACCAGUGGCGAAGGCGGGUCUCUGGACAGUUCCUGACACUGAGGCACGAAGGCCAGGGGAGCAAACGGG
rnacentral:rRNA from 1 species